AACGCGAAGAACCUUACCUAGGCUUGACAUGUAGUGGACAGCCACAGAAAUGUGGUCUUCCUUAGUGACCGCUACACAGGUGCUGCAUGGCUGUCGUCAGCUCGUGCCGUGAGGUGUUGGGUUAAGUCCCGCAACGAGCGCAACCCUUGUCAUUAGUUGCCAACAGUACGGCUGGGAACUCUAAUGAGACUGCCUGGGUUAACCAGGAGGAAGGUGGGGAUGACGUCAAGUCAGCAUGGCCCUUAUGCCUAGGGCUACACACGUGCUACAAUGGUCGGUACAAAGGGUAGCGAAGCCGCGAGGUGAAGCAAAUCUCAGAAAGCCGGCCCCAGUUCGGAUUGUAGUCUGCAACUCGACUACCUGAAGUUGGAAUUGCUAGUAAUGGCGAGUCAGCAAUAUCGCCGUGAAUACGUUCCCGGGUCUUGUACACACCG
rnacentral:rRNA from 1 species